GCCUGACUGGCUCAGUCAGUAGAGCAUGUGACUCUUAAUCUUGGGGUUGGGAGUUCAAGCCUCAUGUUGGGGA
rnacentral:tRNA from 1 species